rnacentral:rRNA from 1 species
UGCUUAGCCCUUAACAUAGACAGUACAAAUACAAUACUGUCCGCCAGAGAACUACAAGUGAAAAACUAGAAACUCCAAGGACUUGGCGGUGUCCCACAUCAACCUAGAGGAGCCUGUCCUAUAAUCGAUAAUCCACGUUGCACCUUUCCAUUUCUAGCAAUUCAGCCUAUAUACCGCCGUCGAAAGCCUACCUUAUGAAAGAAACAAAGUAAGCAAAAUAGUCAAUAACUAAAACGUCAGGUCAAGGUGUAGCACAUGAAAUGGAAGAGAUGGGCUACAUUUUCUACCCCAGAAAACACGAACAGUACAAUGAAACUCGUACUCAAAGGAGGAUUUAGCAGUAAGACAAAAAAGAAACUUUUCCUUAAACCCGCUCUGGGACGCGCACACACCGCCCGUCAC